rnacentral:rRNA from 1 species
UACGUAGGUGGCAAGCGUUGUCCGGAAUUAUUGGGCGUAAAGCGCGCGCAGGCGGUCCCUUAAGUCUGAUGUGAAAGCCCACGGCUCAACCGUGGAGGGUCAUUGGAAACUGGGGGACUUGAGUGCAGAAGAGGAAAGUGGAAUUCCAUGUGUAGCGGUGAAAUGUGUAGAGAUGUGGAGGAACACCAGUGGCGAAGGCGACUUUCUGGUCUGUAACUGACGCUGAGGCGCGAAAGCGUGGGGAGCAAACAGG